UUUAAAGGAGCUACACUAUUAUAAUUAAUUAGACUUAUUAAGUUUAAUUAAUUAUUUUCAAAGAGUAAAUUUUUAUAAUAAUAUUAAAUUAUUAUUAUAAGCAUAUUUUAAGUAAAUUACUUAUUAUAUGCUAAGCAUGACAAGAUUUGCAUUAUAUUUUGCAAUAAGAAUAUUUAUGAUUUAAUUGGUUUUAUUUAUAAUUCCAAUUAUUAAAAGAUGAGUAAGAAUAUUGUUGGUGUUCUUAACUCAAGAGAAAAUGUUUUCAAUUAUUUAUUCAUUAAAUUUUGAAAACCCGGCUAAGUGAAUCAUAGAAUAUUAAGCACUACACCAUGACUUAAGAUUAGAAUUCAAGGAGACCUAUUGAGAAUAGAUUUCUUGUAGGCUUUGAGCAACAGGAGGAUUAGCACUGCUAUUCCGAUUCAGAGAUAAGGAUAAACGACAGGCUUUGCCUAAUCAGGUUGAGCAGUUGAUGGAAUGGAAUGAUGUUGAGCGGGUGUUCCUUUGACAUUUCAAGAAAUGUAACCUUGAGUAUACAUCUUCAUAUGUAUAUCUCACACGCUUUCCGCUGCAAAACACUUUGAUUAAGAUAGCUCUAUGAUAUGAAGUUGUGAUACGUGUUAUUGGGUAACCACCUUAAUCAGUUCUCAAUUAUGUGUAUCCAAAUAAUCAUAUAUGAUCCUAGCAUUUUAUCUAUGAGUGACAUUUCCAUAUACUUUAAUGUUAAGUAAUUGUCCAUUUCCA